GGUAUGCAGACCAGAAGCUCAUACACUAAUUUUGACAGGUCGGGAAUGGAAAAGGAUCGUACAAACGAUUAAUCGGAUUAUUUCACUCUCUCACUACAGCACGUGAGGACUCUUCUUUGUUAUACAGGUCUCACUUACCAUUGGAUCCGGACCAGUUAUCACUCUUCGAUGAUGUAUCUGAAUGGAAAUCUCAACCCUGUCUACUCUACCCUUCUUUUGGAUGUUUCCGGGAUUCACAAUCCCCUAGAGUAGUCGACCACCGUUUCACUUCACAAGUUUAGUCUGAGACCCUGAUUGGAUGUCUUUUGGGAGUUCUUUCUCUACCGCAGUCGCGGGUUACACAGUCAAUUUGGAGUACUGGAAUCUCUUAGGGUAUGGCUAGUUUUGACCACACACUUGCCUGCAUAAUAGAUCCAUGCUCGGAUGAGACCACUCACCGGGUAGGUCAUGAGGGAACGAAAAAACCCUACUCGUUUCGGUUACGGAAAUGGUGGUAGACUUAGACGUAUUACUUGAGGUUGGAGAUUUGGCUGCAAGGCCACAUCACCUGGUGGCCCUGGCACUAUCGAAGGAAACAUAUUCCACAUCAAGAGUCACAACCUGGUGGCAGUUUC